ensembl:lincRNA
CACGGGAACCUGCAGAGCAGCAGGACUGAUGAAUUCGUAAUGGAGCCUCUCCGGGGUGAGGAAGUUGGCACCUGCUCCUCUUUGAACAUCACUGGAGCAGAUUAAAUUUUAUUCCGCUAUGCAUCAGUUAGACUGGGAUUUCUUGCUUUGUGAAGAGAAACAUUUUGGGCCUCAUUUUCAAAGAUAAGAAUGGAAAGAAAUGUUCUAGGCGGAAAGAAGUACAGACAGAAGAAUGCAAGUAAAUGGCAGCAAGUGUUUAGAAUUAUCAAGUGGUCCUGUUUGGCUGGAAGUUCACAGCAGGAACAGAGAAUGGGGGAGGGGUGAAGAGACUGGAGAUGGUGCAGAGGAAGGGCGGGGUUCAAUUGUGAAAAUUUGGUCUGCCUCCUCAAGAUGAUGGAUACUAGCUAUCCUUUGGGCAAUGGCAUAACAUUAAAUGAUUUUACACCAUGCGGGUGAUGCGAUCAGGUUUAUUUCCUAGAAAAUUCAUCUGGCUGCAAUUUUGAAAAUAGAUUUAAAAGAACUGCCAAGAUUGGACACAGAAUUUAUACUGAAACUAUUGUAUUAGAUGAAGAUGCUGCUGAGAUAAUGACAGCAUGUCAGGUUGGACCUAAAGCCCAGUUACAAUGGCCAGAAGACCCCCAAACAUGUUUUCUCCAGAGGUCCUGACCCGCGCCUUGCUUGCUGGCUUCUCAGUGACGGAUCAAUUCUUGAUGCCCCUCAAUCGGGAACAUCUCUAACAGAAUGUGUGAGACAUCAGAUUGAUCUCAACUCUAACUUGCAGGCUGGAUACACCAUGCUGUCCUCCUCUCCUGGUUUCUCAUGGUUGCAGGGAGACAAAAUAUGUAAUAGUUUUCUUUCACUGCCUACGUUCAGCACCCACAUGUUCCCACAUCUCUGCUCCGGAUGGAGAACACACAUAAAAACAUUGUUUGCAAAUUUAUUUAACCUUGAAUCUGACUUUCUGGGGGGCAGAAUUUGAUGGGGGAAAGGUAAGGAAUUCAUUGAUCCUUGCAAGACAGAAUGAGACAAAAGAUUCAAGUAAGAAAUACUGCAUGAGGGCUGGAGAUUUAGCUCAGCGGCACAGCGCCAGCCCAGCAAGCACAAGGUCGUGAGUUCAAUCCCCGGUACUGGAAAAAACCAAAAGAACCAAGAAAUACUGCAUAAAAACAAAGGUAAACUUGCAUUCAUCCUUUGAGGAGGAAGUCACGGUACUUAAACACACUGAGGCAGAACCUGUGAAGGAUGCGGAGGGAAGAGCUCACAGAUGCAGAGUACCUGAGAAAUGAGAAAUGAGAUUGCCCCUGGAUGGACAGAAUGUUCUAGAACUUUCUGUAGAUUUCUUGGCUGAUGAAGGUGUGCCACUGAAUAUCCUCCAUUUUUACCUGUCUUCAGAUAAAGAGGACCCUGGAAUGGGGCUACAAUGUGAGAGGAAUGAACAGAAAAAUAUGCUCACGCAAGAUAAAAAAAUGAAUAGAAAUUGCUGACAUCGAAGAAGGGCUUAAACAAAGUCAGGGUGCGUGCCACGCAGAUGUUUGGAGAAAGUGUGUGUUCUUGGAAGAAAGACAUGCCUUCUUCUGAGGUAAGGGUGGACAUAGGUGGAAUAAUAGUGGCCUCACCAUUUUAAGAGGCUAUUUUGAAGACAAUAUGUGGCAGAUAGAACUUGAAGAAUGGAAUUUAGCAGUCAUUGAACAAAUAAAUGUUAAAAAUAUGAGAACUUUCCUUACUUGUUGAUUUUAGAAGAAAUAAAAUAAAUAUAUAUAUAUAUAUAUAUAAUAUAUGGAGCCAGACGACAUGGAAAACAGUUGAAUUCUUGCCAAACCCUUUAGAGUCUGAGGAUACCUGUCAACAGUGUUGAUGCUGGCUGCCAGAGUCCAGUACUGUGGAAAGAGUCUGACUAUCAGAGCCUGUAGCUGCUGCGGAUUCUGCACAAAGCAAAAUUAUGCCAUGUGUCCUUGCUAUGAAUGAGCGCUUCCUCUGUUAGCAGAGUAAAUACCAAUCACUGCUAUAACAAUUCUUCCAAAAGAUAAUUUAAUACAGAAGCCUUCUCAUGCACAGAAUUGACUGAGUGUUGUGGGUGUGGAAAGCAUGCAUGGGAGUGUCUUGGGUGGGCACAUCACAGCUACCUGCCCGCAAUUAGCCAGACAAGUUUUAUGGCCUCACCCAGAGGUAAAAGGACUAGAAACACAGUGAUCAUCAAUACCUAUAAGUUAGUUGAAGGUUGGGUGAACAUUUUUUCUCCAUGCAACUAGUCAUUAGUCAUUACCUCACACUGCCUCCCCCAUGGUAGUGUGUGGCAUCAGAAGGAGGUUGGACAGAGUGGACUGUGGUUUCAGGAGCGUCUAUCCAUUGGAUCUUUUCAUAGCUUGGUGGCUUUGGGAAGUCACUCUCCAUCCUCAGAUGUCAGUUUCCCUUGCAUAAGAAAUGGGAUUAUUUGAGCAUCAAGUUUCCUUCUAGUUUAAAAGUCCAUUUCAUUUUAUUGCUUUUAUGUUGUACCAAGAACGUCUACUGGAGAACCACUUGUGUCUCUUUUAAUGGUGCUCACAGGGGGCAGAGGAUAUUGGGGAAAAUGCUAUGCCAGAAUCAGAUCCUUCUGGAAUGCCUAGCUCCUUUGUAGUUCUUUGAGCCUCUAUUCCCCUUGAAGAAUUUUCCAUCUGUUAGCAGACCCCACUCUCAAAGCAGCUGAUUCCUGUU